CCUUUCCUUUUGACUCAUUACUUACGUACCACCCUUUAGCUUCACCGACAUUUUGAAAGGAAGGAAUGCGUGCACGUUUUGAACUCUACAGAGCAUUUUGUUUGCUAAUUUCUUUUGGCUUGGCUUAUUUUUGAACAUGACAAGUCGUCGUGGUGAAGCUAGUGCGGUAGAUGAUUGUAUAAUGUGUAGGAUUAUUGGAGGUGGUGGCUUUCUAGCAGCAUCAGCUUACGUUUUCCACCACGGCCGCAAGUUACAAUCUCAGCCUGGAAAGUUGCUGUGUUACGCAUUUUGCGGAGGACUAUGCUACACGGGAACAGCCAGGUUUCUUGGACUUCCUCCAUUUUCAAGGCCCAGGCAAAGCUAGCAGACGACAGUGAUCGUAUAUUCUGGCACGGAGCUCUGCAACACUGCCGGUCCCGACUUUGUCAAUGUCACAAAUCCUUGACACUAUUGAUGCAAAGUUCCAACCAGGGUCUCACUUCAUUUCAAAAGGGAAACGACGAUAAUGUGGCCAUAAACUGUUGCCCCCUAUAAGUUAAACCAGUUGAGGCACACGCCGAAGACUACAGCCCACAGUGCAAAUGUCACCACAAUGACGACAAAGAUUACAGUCUUUUGUGGAGACCACGUUUCAAGUUGCAGGCGAACGGGCGGAGGAGCAGCUGUGUUACACCGCAUUCCUCCUUCAGUGCAGGUGCACGGCUGCACGCCAGCGAUGCUGCUGCCAUAACCGGAACUUGUCUUGAGCAGUUCAAUCGCUCCUGCAGAAUCACCACCUCCGGACACUUGCUGCGGGGUCACGCCGUAGCUGCCAUUUUCUACCUCCAUCUGCAUGGGACGAAAUAUAGUACAGCAUUUUCACUGAGGGGAAUCUUGAAAUCAAACAUUUUGUGUUUAUGUAAGCAACUGGAACAGGUGAGGGACAGGGGUGGAUAUAGGUGUUUGGGCCUGGAUGUCUUUAGCCUCCCUCCCUCUCACCAUGUCUGUCGUCACCAUGUGUCCCAAUAGGCCUUAGGCACUGUAUGUAGCAUGCUGUCCUAGACCAGAUUCCCCCCCCCCCCCCACACACACACAGAUAUACCAACAUCAGGGUGCAAGUAGGGGCCAAUGAAGAAUCGUGAUCGAAAAUGCUUUGUCUAUUGUAAGCAAACUGAGUGCAAGAAAAAAGCCAACACAGAUGGAUGGGCUCAUAAGUUCCUUCGAUAAUUCAGUGAAAGCCUCAAGAGUGACUCUGUGUGCUACGAAUCUUCUUCUUUUUUUUUUUUUUUUUCAAGUGAACCAGAAAAACAGAGUUCUGUGGAUGAUGGCCAUCCAGUGUCAUCAUAAAUAUGAUUCAUUGCACCUGUAGCGGCCCAAUUACCGUAAUUUCAUACCCGUCGAUCCGUGAAAAAUACACAACGAGGGCACAAUCCGAUCUUGGUAGAACACUAGAACUGACCUCCUUUGUUGUACACCGCGCCGCGGAGUAUGGACCACAGGGUUUAUGGCCUUCUCUAUGGUCUCUCGCGUUGUAUUGCCUGUGACUUAUCUGCGAGUGCGGCUUAUCUGCCCGAAAAUUUUCAAAACGUUCCUAGAAACGGGUCCUGCGGCUUAUCUGCUUAUUAUCUGCAGUGCGGCUGAUACCCAUGAAAUUACAGUAUUUGUCUGGCAUGUUACGUAUAAGACAGCGAAGACAAAGGAUUCAUAUCGGCUGUGGAGUGCCUCUUGGACGCAAACAAUGGACAGUUAUAUUUACCCUCUAUGUUUCAUCUCUCACACUUCUGCUGAGAGAUAUCUGAGGUAAAAUCUGCUGCCAUAAUAUCUCAUAAGGAUUAACAUCUAGCUGCUCUGUUUCAUCCCAACCAAAAAUUAAACAUUAUCCUGUCCGUAGCCAGAGCAAGGCAAAUGUUAAGUGUCUGCAUUCACCCAGCUUCCUGGCAGUGAACCUGCCCACACAUUUCUUGCUACAGAUUCUAGAGGUGUGCAUCAUGUCCUUUCGUUGCAUCAACUUAAGUGUAUCCCCAUUCAUCUACGUAUCCCGGGGCUAUACCGUGGGACGUGCAAUCAGAGGGGAUAACAAGGUGCUAAAAAAAUCAGGAAUUUUUCGCUUUCUGUUGUGCUUGUUCUACCACUUCUUUGAGACAUGUAAGCACACUCAUAUACUUUAACUGCCUCAUGCGCACACGCAAAAUCAUGCUCCUGGGGUUUGGCAUCAGUGGUGGUGGAAUUCUAAUAAGUCUGAAGCUUUUAUAGCUCAAUUGCUCAGAAGUGAGAAUUAUAAUUAUUUCAGCUGUGGUGACUGAUGAGGGUUGAAAAUAAUAAUAAUAAUAAUAAUGUUCUCUGGAUGGCUCUCAACGUGAGGGAUGACAUAUUUGAAAUUCUCAGGGAGUACCAGAUGGGGUGGGAUGACAAGGGUGCAACCUGAGGCAGGGAAUUAAACAACAGACAAUUUCCUCAGACACAGCAACAAAAAUUUAAUAGCGAAACCGUCACUUAUAUACACAACCACCUCUGGAGAGGGGGCAUGGGCACAAGGGAGGGCUUGCUGACGCAAUGUUCACGUGUAGCUAUCUCUAAAGAUUCCCUGAGUAACCUCCGCCACAAAUUCCUUUCUUUACACAAAACUUCGGUUUCAGAGAAAAUCAGUUGACAAUUGUUGCAUUCACGCACGUGGGCUCACUGGAAAUGUGAUUUGUAUUUAGGUUAUGCUCUUGCGGACUAUGAUUCAAGCACCUCUUUGUUUGCCCCACAUAGCAUAGACUACAACUAAAAGGAAUACAGUAAGCCACUCCACUGGAACAAGGUACGAGGGGCUUUUUGUGCGAGACAGUACAGCAUUGUGAUAAAAAAGGCAUCAGUCUGGAUAGCUUGUAAGCAUUAGUGAACACUACCCUUAUGCCAUAGUCUUUCGCUACUGCCAAAAUAUUAUGAGACACUCAGUGGAAAUAGGGAAUAGAAACAGUAUGGCCGAAAGAAGGCUCUGUUGAUGAUUGAUCACUGGGGGGGUCUCAUCAUCUUGCACAAUUGAAUUAGAGCACGCUUGGCCAAAUUGUGUUGUUCGUACCCAGCCUGUAACAAACGGAAACAUUGUUGCUGCAGACUGUACGCAACGUGGUGGACACCACUUUUCAAAAUGGCAGAAAUGAGGAGGAAUCUUUCGGAAACCAGGGUGAGGUCCAAAAAUUUCAGUCUCUGCUCUGUGGGAUGUUCAAUAGAAAAAGUUAGUUCCGGGGCGAAAGAUGUGAUCGUACUCAAAGUUCGGCAGUCAAGGACGGGAGAUUGGUUAGGACAAUGAUAUCGUUAACAUACCGCCGUAUACACAAUCGUUCACAGGAAGUCUCGGUUAUCAAAUUUCUACCAGCACGAUGAAGGACACUGAGGUAGAUUUCAGCUAAAAUGGGUGCAACGGAAGCACCAAUACAGAUACCUUCGGCCUGAAUAUAUGGUUUUCCUUCCCAGGUUACAACAGUAGAUUGCAGGUAACAUUCCAAGAUGGUGAGAAAGUUCGCGGCAGACAUACCAGCAGUGUUUUGGAAAGCGGUGAUGUGGUCUACAAUCAGCUCAGAGGUGCGUUUGAGUAGGAGCGGUACAUUAAUUGAACAGUAUAAGUCCUUGAUGUCCAGAGAAAAGAGCGUAACCUUUGAACCGUGCAAAGGGUUGAUUCUUUGAAAGGACACUGACAGUGCUUGAUUUGGACAAUUUAAGUAAACCCGUGAAGGGCUUAAAGAGUGAAUCAAGAGCGGUUCGCACCUUGGACUGGAAAGAUGACAUCGGAAGAACACCAAACUUGCCUGAUUUGUCCCAUUGAAUUAGUUUGAGGUCGGCACUGUGGAGUUCACUCUGUACCUCCCGGAUUUUAUGUAAGCUACGACUAUUCCCAGUACAGAAGGCAUCUGACGGAAUCCUGGAGAUACAUCGUUCAGCGAAGACAUUUUUCUUGGUUGGAUCACUUAUUUUGGACGCGACAUUGGACAUGAUAGCAGCAAUAUCAAAUUUCGAAGGUGUCACAGGUAAACGAAACUUAGGAGUGUCAGAGACAUCCAAGGUUGUCUUAGAUAAAGGGACAUUAUUGGGGUUGACAAUCGAAACACUGGCGGGUCCGAAACACUGGCGGGGUAGGAUGCUCCCAUGGAAGGAACAUUUCAACGUUGUAGGGAGUUUUGUUUAUUGUUUUGAAAACAUUGUUUUUCUUAUAGAGUACAGAUGUUUUGCAUGUUUCAAUGUUGCACUUCUCGAAUGUACAUGGAGCGAUGAACGACACAAGCGAGAGAAAUCCGAGAUAGCAUAUUUGCGUUGUGCGGAAGUGACCAGUGAGAAAAAUAGGAGCCGGUCUUUACUGCAUAGAGAUUCUCCUACAGCAUUAUUCAACGGAACAGGAGUGGUUUGCCAGAAAAAUGUUUGCAAAGUGUGCUGAACAGAAAGCAUGAUGAUGCAGGCUUGUUUGUGAAGAUUAAUGAUAAGACUCGCACUGUAGUUUUUUUAACGGCACCACGUCUUCAUCAUUUAUGUCUGUGUCGUUUAUUUUAAUAAGCCACACUGCAAAAAUGACAUUACAAUUCGAAAGGUAUUUCUACUUCCUAAAGAACAACAAUUUGCUUUCAAAAAGGCGAAGGAAUGCAAAUACAAAGAUCAGGAGCAUUAUUUCUACGUCAUUGCAAUACGUAUUCUUUUUUCGCUAGAUUUGUUUCCCACACCCAAAUGUUGCAAAUGGGUGUACUCAUGCUGCUACACAUGAAUAGGCAAUACCACAGGACAAGAGGGAGAGACUAUCUCAAAGGCACCUGAGCUCAGCCAACUCACCGAGCCGUAAGAACGAGCUGCGCUUGCCGCACCACUGUUUCCCAAUAUCCGGCUUGUUUCGUCUCGAUUUGCCGACUCUGUCGAAGCCAUCGCUUCAAGUUUGUCAUUCUCCGGAGAUAACGCCAUAGAGUGUGGAGAGAGCUGAUCUCUUAUCUCAAGCAACUCUGAAUGUGUGCCUUAUCACAUCACUUUCUUUAGCUCACGCACUACUUCGCAAAGGCAUCUCUUCGGGAUUCAGUUCCUUUGCCAUUAACCUGAACAGCGGGGGACUAGUGUAGCCUCCAAUGGGAGUACAGGUCUGUUUGUGGUGAGGCAGUGGAAACUUUUGCAGACGUUGUCAACUUCGUGGCAUUUGGAAACCAAUCUCUCUCGCUGAAGAAUUA